rnacentral:lncRNA from 1 species
CUUCCUUCAUGCUCAACAGGAGAGUCUUCUCAAACAUCUCAAGAUGGAAGGAACAUAAGCAGCUUCCCCAGUGGUAUAACCUGCUGUUGCCUCUUUUAUCAUUGCCUGUUAUUCUUUGUGGAAAUUGCGUGCAGUGAGUGCAUGAGAAGGACUAGAAUUGAAGAUCAGCAGUUUCUGCAUGUGUCAAGGAGGAGACACAUAUCCAGCCUUUUCUUACCUGCAACUACAGAUCUGAAGAAAGGCAUGAUAGCAGAUAAGGUGUGUUGACAGACAGAAUAGGCCCUAUGGCAAAUUGCCCAUCAGGAUUCUCCAGGUGUGCGCUUAGUGUAAAACAAGCACCUACUGAUGCCGAAGAGAUACUCAUGCCAACUUCUGUCCUUACAUCUGAAGCUGGAGAAUAUACGAUUUGUAUGGCCAGUUGCACUUGUUUGUUCUUCUCCCAGACACUGGA